rnacentral:rRNA from 1 species
UACGAAGGGGGCUAGCGUUGCUCGGAAUCACUGGGCGUAAAGCGCACGUAGGCGGAUUGUUAAGUCAGGGGUGAAAUCCUGGAGCUCAACUCCAGAACUGCCUUUGAUACUGGCGAUCUUGAGUCCGGGAGAGGUGAGUGGAACUGCGAGUGUGGAGGUGAAAUUCGUAGAUAUCGUAAGGAAGACCAGUGGCGAAGGCGGGUCUCUGGACAGUUCCUGACGCUGAGGCACGAAGGUCAGGGGAGCAAACGGG